AAACUUGAGGGAAGAAUGCUUACUGGAUGUCUGAGUUGGAUUUUGGUCUUUGGUUCAGGGAAGAGUUGCUGUGCUUAUCUUGUUCUGGAUGGGAUCGUCAGCUGCAGAUGUGAAGGUGUAUGACCUAUCUUGCAUCUUAUGACCUAUCAGGGUUUACCCAUAUUCCUCUGGGAUAGGAACACACCAUUGAUAGGUGUGUUUUAAAAAUCAGGGCAUUUAAUUUUGUGCUACCAGUGGACUCCACUGUACUUGAUCAAGAAAAAAAAAAUGCAGCCCUUGAGAAGAAUGAAUAUUAUCCUGAGAGAGUCAGAUGAGUCACCCUCUGAGACGUUAAGUGCUACCCUACUGUGAAGAGAUUUGAUUGACUGAACAAGACAGUUGAAAUGCUAUUUUAAUGAACUGCGAUGAAAAUUGUGUUGAAAAUGAAGGGUAUAAAAGAGAUGAUCCACUCAGUUUUAGUUUUCCACUUGUUGGAGGUUCUUCUGGAGUACUUAAUCCCAUAAUUUGUCAGAACAAUUAAAACAAAGAAGCAAACAAGAGGAAAAAAAAAAAAAAAGCAAGAGAGCGAGAGGUCAGUUUAUUUCGCAGUUGUUGCUGAUAUCCAUCAGUACCAGGUCCAAGUAUGUGAGCACUGCAGUUUCCUCUGCCUCUUGCAAUUAGUUCCAUUAUCAUUCAUGCAACUGAGACUGAUCAUUUUCCUAUAACUUCACUGGUCCUAUCUUGUGCCUCAUGUCUUUGCUGUGACUUUUUUUCUAAAUAAGACCUAAAUUAGGCCAUGAAUUGAAUAUAAUUGUUUGAAUUGUUUGCCUUCAGAAUUGCAGAACUUACGUGAUUUCCCUCUCAGUUAUUACUCAAAUUGUAUCCUGUUAUUUAAAUGGUUACUGGAAACAAUAUGUUGUCAAUAUACAAGGAGAACAUAAAGAAUAUGUAAAAAAAAAAAAAAAUCAGAUAUUUAUAUAUUUGCUUAUUUUUAAGUAUGGUAGUUUUAUUUACUAUGACGGUGAAAUUUUGUUCACACUAAUGGUGACUCAGUGUUUUGCUGAGUCUCAGUGAUUAAUAAAAUACAAUAACAC
ensembl:lncRNA